UGUCAGCGAUUCCCUCCGCUUCUGCUCGCUCAUUAUGACACGGCAGGAGGGGUUCUCACUGAGAUCACCCUGAAGAAUCCAGGUGAAGACAGAGAAAUUUCCUCGAGGAGCAAAAGGAAACCUCUCUUAUUUGACUGCUCACGGAAGGAGCCUGGAGAAGAACCUAGGUCCUCGUAGUCUGCUCUGUACAGCUGAGGACGGUACCCAGGAAGGAACCCUUUCGUCAUCUUCUGGAAGUGCAAAGAAAGGAUCAUUUGAGUCUACUUUCUGUCAAGGACAGAUACAAGUGUUCCUGCAACACAGAGCAUCAAGAUGUUGAUAGAGCCUUUUGGGGCACUCUCUUCACUGGUAUUCCUAGAUACCUGCAAAGGUGGAUUAACUUUUGCCCUUAUGGACGUGCAGAAGCCUUGGUUUUCUGCAACUAUGAAUCACCGGACAGAGAACACAGAUUUGCAUCUA